UACGUAGGGUGCAAGCGUUAAUCGGAAUUACUGGGCGUAAAGCGUGCGCAGGCGGUGAUGUAAGACAGAUGUGAAAUCCCCGGGCUCAACCUGGGACCUGCAUUUGUGACUGCAUCGCUAGAGUACGGUAGAGGGGGAUGGAAUUCCGCGUGUAGCAGUGAAAUGCGUAGAUAUGCGGAGGAACACCGAUGGCGAAGGCAAUCCCCUGGACCUGUACUGACGCUCAUGCACGAAAGCGUGGGGAGCAAACAG
rnacentral:rRNA from 1 species